UCGGAAACGGUGGAAUCUAGAUAUAAGAGCGCACUCACACACAUGUUCACCAACACGCAGUUUAAGGUCUCCAUGAGCGGCGGCGUGGCAACGAGUAGAACCUCACUUCAGGGAGACUCACGUAAUUAGCGCGCUGGUGGCGGGAACUG